ensembl:lncRNA
CUAGUUUCUGUUGUUCUGAGGAGAGAAGUGAGAAGUACUGUGUGUGUGUGUGUGUGUGUGUGUGUGUGUGUGUAGUUGAAUGGGGGUGAAAGCUCCUCCUGAAGAGCGCCACUCACUCCAUCGCUGCACCUCCUCUGGCUUAACAGUAACCAUGGUGACGGGAGAAGAGGACCUGGUGGGGAGGUGCAACAGUGGGAGCCAAGAAAGAACCGCUGUUGCUGAGUUUCAGUCGCCUUAGUCUCACAGCUGCAGGGAAGACAGAUAUGGGAAGCGCCUUCUCUGCCCACCGGGUCAUCUACCUGGAUGCAGAUGGGAAGGUGCAGAAGGUUGUGUUCAGUAGGUUCUGCAGCCAAUGUGACAUUAAAGAGCUCUUCUGCACAGCUGUGGGGCUGCCCAGGAAUAUCACCAUCUGCCUCUUUGACUCCACUGGGGCCAUGGUGUCCAUCGACCCCACAAUGCCAAGCAACUCAGAAAGGUAGGGUAAUGCACACACUAAUCCUUCAGGUUUAUAAUUUUUUCCACUGCUUUAAUAAUAAUAGUUAUA